UAUGUGGGUGUUAGGGUAGAGAAAGUAUAGGGUAAAAAUGUCCUUGGUUAGGUGGGUGUUAGGGUAGAGAAAGUAUAGGGUAAAAAUGUCCUUGGUUAGGUGGGUGUUAGGGUAGAGAAAGUAGAGGGUAAAAAUGUGCUUGGUUAUGUGGGUGUUAGGGUAGGGAAAGUAUAGUGUAAAAAUGUGCUUGGUUAUGUGGGUGUUAGGGUAGAGAAAGUAUAGGGUAAAAAUGUGCUUGGUUAUGUGGGUGUUAGGGUAGGGAAAGUAUAGGGUAAAAAUGUGCUUGGUUACAUGGGUGUUAGGGUAGAGAAAGUAUAGGGUAAAAAUGUCCUUGGUUAGGUGGGUGUUAGGGUAGAGAAAGUAGAGGGUAAAAAACACGCAUAGUUAUGUGAAUUUUAUAAUAUAGAAAAUAGAUGGUAAAUUACUCAUGGCUCUGUGGGUGUUAGAAUAGAGAAAAUUGAAGGUAAAAGAUGCUGGGUUAAGUCUGUGUUGGAUUAAAGAUAGAGGUAAAAUGUGCUUGGGUAUGUGGGUGCUAGAGUGGAGGAAACAGAGGGAAAAAGUAUGCUUAGGUAUGUUAGUUUUAGAGUGAUUGUAAGUUAUUCUGGGCUUGGGGGGUUGAGAAUAGAGUCCGUCAACCCAGGAAGAUCUUCGAGUAAUACGCUUUCAAGCAUUAUAUGUUACUUGUGAAUUCCUUUGCCUUUAAGAGCACAGCAAAUGGAUGACAAGGGAAGGAAGGAAUCAAGGGGAGAGAGAGAGGCCGCGCACUGAUCUGUAAAAGUGGAGACUGAAGUUGACGAGCGAUGAGAGGAAUCAGGAAACGACGGAAAAGAAAGAGAGAGAGAGAAUGACAGGACGGCAGGAGGGAAGGAAGGCAGGCAGGAAGAAAUUGGUGAUGGAAAGAGAGAGAGAGAGAGAGAGAGAGAGAGAGAGAGAGAGAGAGAGAGAGAGAGAGAGAGAGAGAGAAAAGCAGGGAGAG